GCGGGGACCCUGGUGGGUGACGAGGGGAGCGGGCGGCGGCAGGCAUUUCAAACCGAUCAACCCACAUGAGAAUGUCUCUCACGUUGCAGCAAAAACUGAUGAAUGCACAGGUGAUUGUGCAUGAAAGAAGCCAUAUGAUGACACUGAAACACUGAAGCUUACAGAUACUGAGGACUGAAUUGCUACUCCACAAAAGAGAACAAAUAGGUGAAUCCAUUGACAGACCACUCAGAACUGAAUUGCUGGAUCCAAUGCCCUGGUCUGCUGAACUUCACAUCUUUAAAGCCUUGCAGCACUGAGAGAACAGAGAAGAGUGGCCAAAGGGAGGGACUGCUUACAGUAAACGCUGCUGUCAACAGGAAUUUGCAUUACACAAUAGCCAACACAGACCUGGCUCUAGCUUCCUGAACAAUGACUGUUGCUAUCACUUCUUGGGAAGAGUAUUCUGGCUAUGACCUCUCCAAAUGAAUUUGGAAUAAAAUUUCUCAGGCCCCUCUAACAAUUUGUAUCUCCAGAGUUUCAAUUCUGUGUCUCUCAAACACAUUGGAAAUGUGUAACAACAGAAAAAAGUUCUUUGCAGGCCUUGUAGAGACAUUUUAAAGCCACUGCCACUAGAAUGAUGGAUUCUUAGACAAAAGUAUGCCCGUACAUGCCCUUCCUCAAUGCCCUUGCUAUUCUUGAACUUCUCUUGGUCUUUGAUCAGUAUUUCCAGAUCUUGGGUCUCCCUCCAAAGCCUUCUCUUCCUUCUCACAGAAUCUCUGAAAGCUAGAAUAUACAGUUAAAGGUUCUGUCUGGAAAAAUGUAAUUUCAUUACACUAUGAAAGUGUCCAUUUUGCUUUCCACAUCUUUUUCCCUCCUUUGGAGGCUCCAGGCUCAUCACUAGUGUGGAGAAAAUGGUUCCUCUUGACUGUUUAUAUCAGCAACUCUUCUAGAGUGUACUGUGCCUUUUUACCCUUUUACCCUGGAUGUAUAUGACACAAUGGCAGAUACAGCAUACAUUGAAGCAUUUAAUAAUAUACAGUUUUAUAAAACUAAUUAGUGUUACACAAAUAAGUGCGUAAAA